rnacentral:rRNA from 1 species
AUUUAACGCUGGCGGCAGGCCUAACACAUGCAAGUCAGGCGAGCGGCGGAAGGGUGAGUAAUGUAUGGGGAUCUGCCUGAUGGAGGGGGAUAACUACUGGAAACGGUAGCUAAUACAGCAUACCAUCAGAUGAACCCAUAUGGGAUUAGCUAGUAUGUGAGGUAACGGCUCACCUAGUCGACGCUCCCUAGCUGGUCUGAGAGGAUGAUCAGCCACACUGGGACUGAGACACGGCCCAGACUCCUACGGGAGGCAGCAGUGGGGAAUAUUGCACAAUGGGCGCAAGCCUGAUGCAGCCAUGCCGCGUGUAUGAAGAAGGCCUUCGGGUUGUAAAGUACUUUCAGUCGGGAGGCGUUACCGACAGAAGAAGCACCGGCUAACUCCGUGCCAGCAGCCGCGGUAAUAC